rnacentral:rRNA from 1 species
UACGGGGGGAGCAAGCGUUGUUCGGAUUUACUGGGCGUAAAGGGCGCGUAGGCGGUCGUGACAAGUCACUUGUGAAAUCUCCGGGCUUAACUCGGAACGGUCAAGUGAUACUGUCGGACUAGAGUACAGAAGGGGCAACUGGAAUUCUCGGUGUAGCGGUGAAAUGCGUGGAUAUCGAGAGGAACACCUGCGGCGAAGGCGGGUUGCUGGGCUGAUACUGACGCUGAGGCGCGAAAGCCAGGGGAGCGAACGGG